rnacentral:rRNA from 1 species
GACGAACGCUGGCGGCGUGCUUAACACAUGCAAGUCGAACGGAAAGGCCCUGCUUUUGUGGGGUGCUCGAGUGGCGAACGGGUGAGUAACACGUGAGUAACCUGCCCUUGACUUUGGGAUAACUUCAGGAAACUGGGGCUAAUAUCGGAUAGGAGCUCCUGAUGCAUGGUGGGGGUUGGAAAGUUUCGGCGGUUGGGGAUGGACUAGCGGCUUAUCAGCUUGUUAGUGGGGUAGUGGCUUACCAAGGCUUUGACGGGUAGCCGGCCUGAGAGGGUGACCGGCCACCCUGGCACCUACAUGCGGCCGAGGUUCCUCCGGUACGCAGCAGUGAGGAAUAGUGCCCGAUCGACGGAAGCCGAAUGCUGCAACGCCGCGUGUCGGAUGACUGUCUUCUGAUUGUAGACCACUUUCGCAUGUAACUGUGCGUAUCUGACGGUAAUGGGAUCAGAAGCCCCGGCUAACUACGUG